CCCCGAGGUCGGCUCCCGCCUCGGGAAGAGAACACACGUCAGUACUACCGUCAACAGAAAUCCGAAAGGCGGGGCAACGGCGGCGGGCGCCCCGGGAAGGGAGCCUGAAAAUGCAUCCAGAAAGGUCCAACCUGGAAAAUCGUGGAUAUUCCUCAAAUCUGGCAGACUUGGUCCUGAAUGACAGCACACUUCCUCUACCCCAUGGCAUCCAACCCAAAAAGCAGGCAGGGGCAACUGGGGUGGAGUGAUGGGCCGGAGAAUGAAAGGAAGCACAGUUUCCAAAAGCAAAGUGCUACAGGUGGAAAGCAUGCCUGGAAGAUAAAGCCACAGAACCCAUGAAAAUCGGAGCCAGGGCACCUCAUAUGGAUAAGAAUUUUCCUGCAGCAAUCUUACCCCUAAUGUCAAGGACACUUGAGACAGUCCGAUUCUUUGCUUUGUUCCCCUUAACAUUAAAUCAUGAGCCUUUUCCAUGUUUUGAAAUGUCCACGAAACAUACAUUUUAAGAGCUGCCUAAUAUUCCACUGGAAGGGUGUACAAUAAUUUAACAGUUUCCUUACUGUGUGGCAUUUAGGAUGUUGCCAUAUUGUCAGUGUAAUAAACCCUAUUCCAUCAAA